CCUCUCUUUCUCCUCCCUCCUGCUUACAGUGUCCUCCAUCUCUCCGCUCUCUCUCAUUUUCCUUAUAUUAAGGACAUUCUCACUUCCAGAGACUGCUGCAGUUCCUUCGUCAUAUGUUAUUUUUUUAAUCUCUAAAGAGCUCUUGGAGAGUGAAGCAGCACAGAGCUGACCUUAUAAAGAAUCCUCCUGACCAGACCACACCUCUGUCCCUGAGUCCAUGGAAGCCAAGGCCAAGUCCGGGGCUACAGCACCCAAGGCGGCACCUAAAGUGGAGAAGAAGGAGCCAGCAGCCCCACGCAAGGCUGAUCCUGCCCCUGUAGCCCCUGAAGUCCCUGCAGCCCCUGAGCCCGAGCUUCCUCCUGCCCAGGAUGGGGCAGCAGAAGCAGAAGCAGAAGCAGAGGCGGCAGGGGACGAGGCUGCGGCCUCCGGCACAGACUCUCUGGAACACCUGAAACCUUUUCUCAUUGGUGGAGCAGUUAUUGCUGCAGGAGCCAUCUUGCUGGGAGUGUUGCUACUGGCACGGAGAAAUUAAACCAACUCAUUAUCUCAAAUUAAAGUAUGAAUUGGAUGAUGAGUUAGAGCAUUGUUGACUAUUAUGGUACAGAUGGGGGAAUGGGAGCCACUGUGCGUCUUAUGUUUGUUUGUGUUUUGGCCUGCUUUCACUUGUAGUGAAUCAAACCAUUCCAUUUUUGACAUGGAGCAUAAUUACACAUAAUAUAUGCAUGAUGUUGCUUCAUUACUGCAUCUGUACUGUAAUCAAUUCCUUUAAAAAAAACACUGUAGUUCUGAGCUACAAAGCCUCAACUCUUUAAAAGUAGUUUAUUCAACUGCUUUAUCUUGUCUAAUCCAGUUUACAUAUAUAUUGACAUCCUAGCAAUAUUUGUGAAUUCUUACUCUGAAAAUCUGCUGGUUCACUAAAUAAUAAUGAAAAACUAUCCACAAUCUUGAAACAUUACAAUUGUAAUAAUGGCUAUCAGAGUUGUUGUCGGUCUUAUUUGACUUAUUUUUGGUUUUUAAACUAUCUAAAGGGAAGACCUGAAAUUAGUCGACACUAUGCAUUGUGAUGUAUUGCACUUAUUUUGGCUAAAAAAAUUCCUAAAUGAUGGGACUCAGUUAAGAGACACUGCAUAUCCAAAACAUGUCAUAGGGUACAGUGCAAUACAAAAUAAAAUAUAAGCAUGCAGUGGUUUAAGAAAUGGGAUGGAGAGGAUUGUAAGAGAUAAAACAUGUACAGUAUGUUUUAGACAAUAAUAGUGAAGUUACCUCUUGCUGUAGAAUAAGAAAGAGUUAUUUUUCUGUCAAAUUAUGUCACAAAUCAAUUAACCUCUCAUGUCUCACACACCAUCCACAGUGGUGUGGGUUCAUUCUGUUUUACAUCUUACAGUAGAUACUUUGCUGUAACAGGGUGGACAGCCAUCUUGCAUUAUCAGGUUCAAGGCCUGCUUCAUUGUUUAUGUCUUCAUUGUGUUCCACUAAUGCAGUUUUAGGAAAAAAUCGAUACUUAAUUAAUACGUGCAACUGUCAUUUAAUGAAAGCAGCGUAUGUUUCUAUUACAUUGAAAGUAGGGUGUCGUGCACUUUAGGGGAGGAAAAAAAGUGAAGCAUUCACAAUUAUUGAGCAGCAACACUCACCUGUUCAGCUUCACACAAUAGUGCCCACUUACAUAUACUGUCAAAGCCAUAGGGAGGCCCUCUGCUCCAUAAGUAGAUAACAGAAAGACAGUUCUGAUUCGCACCAUUAUUUUAUACAAGUUGUAACAGUACUUGUGAAUUUCACAACACAUUACUGGCAAAAAAUAGUAUAUAAACAUACCUCAGUGAACACCAAAACACAACCAAUAGAUGGUAGGCCAACACCAAAACAAACUUCACCCGACAUUGUACAAUACAGUGUACUUAAAAAAAAAAUCCUAUUUUCAUUAUUUCAACAGCGUAUAAAUGCAAUAAUUCAGAUAGGACUCCUUAUUUAGCACUUGUGCUGUAGCAAGUUAAACUACAUAAAUAAUGAUGUAAUAAUAUUGUUGGUAGUGAUUAUGAUGUAUAUUAAAGAUGGCAACAAUGGUGAUAUGCUGAUAGCAAUGAUGGCGUCUUUCAUGGUGACUAAUGAUAAUGACAGUUAUGAUAUCUUUUUUUUAUAUAUUUCUAACAUUUUUUCCUUAUGCACACACCCUUCUGCCCUCAAACUUCUAAAUGUGAAAAGGAAAUAAACAUAAUACAACCUUUAAUAAAGACAGUGAACCAGC